rnacentral:rRNA from 1 species
GGCCCUUAUCGGUAGGGCUUCACACGUGCUACAAUGGUGCGAACAGAGGGCAGCCACCUGCAAGGGGAGCGAAUCCCUAAAAGCGCAUCACAGUUCGGAUUGCAGGCUGCAACUCGCCUGCAUGAAGUCGGAAUCGCUAGUAAUCGCAGGUCAGCAUACUGCGGUGAAUACGUUCCCGGGCCUU